GAUGAACGCUGGCGGCGUGCCUAAUACAUGCAAGUCGAGCGAACAGACGAGGAGCUUGCUCCUCUGACGUUAGCGGCGGACGGGUGAGUAACACGUGGAUAACCUACCUAUAAGACUGGGAUAACUUCGGGAAACCGGAGCUAAUACCGGAUAAUAUAUUGAACCGCAUGGUUCAAUAGUGAAAGACGGUUUUGCUGUCACUUAUAGAUGGAUCCGCGCCGCAUUAGCUAGUUGGUAAGGUAACGGCUUACCAAGGCAACGAUGCGUAGCCGACCUGAGAGGGUGAUCAGCCACACUAGAACUGAGACACGGUCCAGACUCCUACGGGAGGCAGCAGUAGGGAAUCUUCCGCAAUGGGCGAAAGCCUGACGGAGCAACGCCGCGUGAGUGAUGAAGGUCUUCGGAUCGUAAAGCUCUGUUAGUAGGGAAGAACAAAUGUGUGAGUAACUAUGCACGUCUUGACGGUACCUAAUCAGAAAGCCACGGCUAACUACGUG
rnacentral:rRNA from 1 species